rnacentral:lncRNA from 1 species
UGGUAGUUCUCGGAACGAGGCGUGGAGGCUAAUGAGUCGCCGUUGACGGAGUCUAACUCCGGCGGCGCGUGAUUUGACCCGCUCAUUACUGCAAAUGGAAAAUGGAAAAGGCGGUUAGUCGAUCUGUUGCUGUUAUUGGCACUGUUACAUUGAAGAAGUGAUUGUAAACUUUCUAUUCAAAAUUAAUGUGUAAAACAAAAAAGAAAAAGAACGAUUUGGAACUGUGAAAAAUGUAGACUUGAGAAUUUAGAGUUGUUAAAAUGGUUAAAAUAAAAUAGUUAUUCACUUAUAUUAUCUAUUAAAAAAUAAGUUGGAUAGCAAAAUAUUUAAAAACGAAUCAAAUAUAAAUAAGAAGCAUAUUAUCUACUUAAAAAAUAAAUAAUCAAUGAAUAACUAAUUAGUUUAAAUUUUAUAUUUGUAAAACCUCAAAUUAAAUUUGGGAGAUUGGGAAUUCUAUUGAGAGUGAUUAUAUUCAAAAAGUCAAGGAUAAUUAUAAAUAUUCAUAUUAUCCAUCGGAUAACCCAUUUGUGGUCCGUACUAAAUAUGAAUCGAACCGAAUAAUUUAUCUGUUUUUUAAAUUACUCAUUUUCGAACCCCCUCAUGUCUUAUAAAGAAAUUUUAAGCUAGCUUAUGGGGUGAAGAUUGCCCAAGCCAUAUAAGGAGACCAAGGACCUCAAGUCCCUCCGAUGUGGGACAANNNNNNNNNNNNNNNNNNNNNNNNNNNNNNNNNNNNNNNNNNNNNNNNNNNNNNNNNNNNNNNNNNNNNNNNNNNNNNNNNNNNNNNNNNNNNNNNNNNNNNNNNNNNNUCACGCCCAGAUCUCUGGAGCGUGGACCAAGGACCUCAAGUCCCUCCGAUGUGGGACAACUCAACACCCCCCUCACGCCCAGAUCUCUGGAGCGUGAACAACAUAAAUGGGGGCCCAACAUUGAUGACAAUAAUUGGGAUGGGUCUGGCUCUGAUACCGUGAUAAGAAUAAACAUUGGCAUAACUCAACCCCAAAAGCUAGUUUAUAAGGUGAAGAUUACCCAAGCUAUAUAAGGAGACCAAAAACCUUAAAUCUCUCCUAUGUGGGACAACUCAACACCCGUUACACGGAUAGGAUUUUAGUUUUACAUACAUUGAAUUGUAAAAACUAUUUUACCUAUCAAUACAAUUUAGUCUAUUAUAGCAGGUAAUUAUGUAUUAUUUCAUAUCAAUUUAGCUUGAUGGUAUGGAAUUUUUUUUAACUUAGCAGUUCGCAGUGUAAAAUAUUUAAAUUCGCAUAUGAUUAUAAAGUACAAAUGAUGAAUCAGCAACCACAGUAAACUCAGAUUAUCAUUAGACUUUAUAAAAGGGAAAAAAGACAUUCGAGUAAUGUUAGUGAUUAUUUUAAUAAGCCACUAUACAAAUCAAAAUUAAAGUAUCUUAUGAAAGAUUCGUAUUUUAUGAUAUCAGCAGUUGUCAACUUGCUAUAAAUAACCUUGAACGUCUUAAUAAACUAUCUUAUUUGCUUGUAAACUAAAAGGGCAGACAAAAUUAGAAAGAUGGCUAUUGAACACAGCACGUCACUGAAUUAGGCCAUUUAACACGAGGGUUGGCUAAUGUCCUAAUAAACUAUUCAUCAAAAGCCAAUCAUAUGAUUAAACAAGGAGUAUACAUUCUAGUUUACUUGGCUCAAGACAACAAUUAAUGCGUGAUUUUUCUAUUUUCAGACAUACAACGGACUUAAUUUGACUUAUUCCUUCUAUUUAUCUCAUUUUAAAUAAUAUCAUUAUUAGUAUUGUCUGAAGUGGAGUAGUAAUAUUUUUUAAACCUUUUUUUACUACACAAAACUUGGAAUUUAGGGUACUUUCUAUAUAAUUUUUAAACAAGUAGUUGUUCAAAAACGGUAUUAAAUAAGUAAUUAAUUUCACUCUUCCACUCAGAAUUAUCUCAUCAUCCUUUUUAACUAUGGUAUAUCGUUAUUUAUCAUGCUUCUAUAUAAAAGUUCAAGCACGUAUUACUAUUCUUACCAUGUCGUCAGUGCAUACUAUCAGGGGCGGAUUUAGGGCCCGGACGGUCUCUUUAGAUUAUAUUUUGAAUUCCUUUACCACAACUGAAAAGCACAGCUUAGUGGUAAAAGUAGUUCAGAGCCUUUGUAAGGUCACUAAUUCGUUUCCCAUUGGUCACUGUUCUUUUUAAUUUUUCUAAUUUUUUCCUUUUUUGAACUCUUUAGCGGAAAUCUUACUUCCGCCACUGUAUAAUAUAUUAUGACAAGCUAAAAUUACAUUAACAGCAGCACUAGUAGUUUUUCUAGUCUGGCUCGGGCAUGCUGAUAACAAAUUACUUCAUUUAGGAUCAUUUGACUUUUUGUUUUCCUUUAGGCCGGGUAAGUCAGACUAAAGAUGAUAAAAUGCUCUCCACCAAAAGCUUUUCAUUUACGAGAAUCAAAAGCUGUUGUUAAGGUUAGUUCAAUCGAAUUACAAAACUAAGAAAUUUACUUAUUCACUGCAAUUACUAUAUAUCUCUAUUUGAAGUUGAACUUCAAAAUUCAUUCGCAAAUAUCGAAUAAGAAGAGAUAAGGUUCAAAUAAAGAGAACCAAUUCUGUAAAAUGAGCUGGUGUCUUGUAGUUGCAAGGUGUUUGGGGCCACGUUUAGACUUCCCUCCUGCCAAAGGUAGGCAAACAUUUGGAAUAUGCUAAUGUUUUGUAUCCUCUUUCAUUUAUUUCUCAUCUUCUUUAUGUAUAAGCGUAGGACAAAAAAAUUGACAAAAACUAGAACACCUCAAAAUUAAGCUUCAACCUUGAAAGUUGAUUCCAUUUAACUCUACAUUACUUAUUUUGUUACAAUAGACUUCAAAUUCUCAAAAGAAUGAGGAUCAUAGAACUAUAUAUCAAACCGAAAUCAAUGAGUUUUAAGUACAAGCUUCCAUAUAGAAGAAGAGUUAUGAUAAUUAAAUGUCAUAGUACGAUCAAUACUCAACUAUGAUUGAUUUUUUAAAUACUAGUAGUAAAAUUAAGACGAAAUAUAUAUUGAGGUUCAUGUAACUGGACUUCAGUAAUUAGUUUGAAAUUGAAGCAUUUUGAACAGCAAAUAGAGAAGAGGAAAAAAGAAAGAAAAUGAAAGCAUAUAAUCAAACAGGAGGCCCUUAGAGAAAGGUAACUUACGUGAUAGAGACUUCAAACUAUUUGAUGUCAAAGACCAGAAGAGUAUAACUUGUGCUGCAAAUUUGGCCUGCAGAAGAGGGAGAAAAUGUUGGAAAGAAACGGUGGGGUAUAUAGUGGAGCUAAAAAAGUUUUAAAAAGGGGGAAUAUGAGACUCAAAGCUGGGUGGACAUGGUUGUUUUUGGAGGGGGGAGGGGAGAUGGGGUCCUUCAUUCAUGUCUUUAAGCUACCUCUUUCUUUCAAAGACGUGGCUUCCAUUUUUUUCUUUCU